GAAAAGCGCGAUUUGGCGCUCGCUCUAGCGUCAAAAAUCAGAAACCGAGCGCCAAAACUCAAUAUCAUUGGUCGUUUCGGUCGAUUUACGUCAUUUCUAGACGGACCGUUGACGAUGUAAGAUCUUUGUCGGUUGGCUCUCCAGAAUUUUUAAGGAAAGUGCCUUUUUCCUGUAUAUUGUGCUCGGAAAUCAUGUGUAGUGCAGAGCUGGACUCUUGGAAAGGAUUAUGUCAGAAAUUAUCCAGGGUUACGGAUAUCCAAGGACCACGCUGCCAGUGAAGAAGGAGAUGACGAAUAUCAACACAUCAACACAGAUCUUCAAGUUGCAAAGAAACCAGGCUGCCUUUGGAUGGAAUGGACCAAGGAUCGGUAUGGGUCUGGACACGUCAUAUAGCGCAGGUCGUACCUGAGCUCGGGCGCUGUAUCCAGACGUGCUGCACUGCGGGAGUGAAUGUGCGCCUUUACACAUUUUGCUCGGUACAAUCGCGGGUAGGGCCCAGCUGGACUCGAGAGAUGAUCGCAAUCGAAUGGGGACACACAAUUGUAAUUACCAAACUACACUUACUUUACCCAUGCAGACGGCUCAUGGAAUGCUAUCACGUGAAAAUCCAUCAACGCUCCCAGCUAGUAAGCGUGCGGUUUAAUGUCUCUACUAUCAGGCUCUAAAGACAUGACCGCUGAGUUCGUGUUAGAUUAAUCCGUCGUUUUACAUAGUCUGGGUUCAAUAUCACAAGUGUCACUCUUUUUCUCUAAAGCAAAUAAAACUCUAUAAGAAAUGUUUAUAGACUUUUAUCCAUGAA